rnacentral:rRNA from 1 species
GGUUAUUCCGUUACGAACGAGACCUUAACCUGCUAACUAGUCUGCUUGUGAAUAACAGGUUGUACUUCUUAGAGGGACUAUUGUGCAAUAAGCCAAUGGAAGUUUAAGGCAAUAACAGGUCUGUGAUGCCCCUAGACGUGCUCGGCCGCACGCGCGUUACAAUGACUGGCGCAAAAAGUAUUUCCUGUCCUGGGAAGGUACGGGUAAUCUUAUUAAUACCAGUCGUGUUAGGGAUAGUUCUUUGGAAUUGUGGAUCUUGAACGAGGAAUUUCUAGUAAGUGCAAGUCAUCAGCUUGCGUUGAUUAUGUCCCUGCCGUUUGUACACACCGCCCGUCGCUUGUAGUAACGAAUGGUCUGGUGAACCUUCUGGACUGCGACAGCAAUGUUGCGGAAAAAUAAGUAAACCCUACCAUUUGGAACAACAAGAAGUCGUAACAAGGUAUCUGUAGGUGAACCUGCAGAUGGAUCAUUA